UACGGAGGAUGCAAGCGUUAUCCGGAUUCAUUGGGUUUAAAGGGUGCGUAGGCGGGCUAUUAAGUCAGUGGUGAAAUCCUGCAGCUUAACUGCAGAACUGCCGUUGAUACUGAUAGUCUUGAGUUUGGUUAAGGUAGGCGGAAUGUGUAAUGUAGCGGUGAAAUGCUUAGAUAUUACACAGAACACCAAUUGCGUAGGCAGCUUACUAAGCUGUUACUGACGCUGAGGCACGAAAGCGUGGGGAUCAAACAGGAUUA
rnacentral:rRNA from 1 species